UACGUAGGGUGCAAGCGUUGUCCGGAAUUAUUGGGCGUAAAGAGCUCGUAGGCGGUCUGUUGCGUCGGCUGUGAAAACCCGGGGCUCAACUCCGGGCCUGCAGCCGAUACGGGCAGACUAGAGUUCGGCAGGGGAGACUGGAAUUCCUGGUGUAGCGGUGAAAUGCGCAGAUAUCAGGAGGAACACCGAUGGCGAAGGCAGCUCACUGGGACGGUACUGACGCUGAGACGCGAAAGCGUGGGGAGCAAACAGG
rnacentral:rRNA from 1 species